AUUGAAGGGUGUGGUUGUUGUGGAGGGUGUGGCUGUGAAAAGACGUGUUCACAAUGUGAACCUGGACUUCCGGCAUAUAACCAAAGUGAAAGCUGCACCAAGGAAGCUAACUGUUGUGGAUCUAAAGUUAGAAUGAGAACAUUGUUCGUACCUGACGGCUGUGAACUGACUUAUGUUCAAGGACCGCGAACAUUAGUAAUGGAAAAGAGAGGAUGGGAAAACACAGACACAGAGGUAACAGCGGAAGUCUACCAAGACGCUUACGAACGCUGGCAGGUGAACUUGUUGCCAAAGUCGUAACUUCCGGAGAAAAA